GCCAUUGUGGCUCAUUUGGUUGAGCAUUGUCACAGGCACGAAAAGGUUGUGGGUUCAAUUCCCGCUCAGGGCA
rnacentral:tRNA from 1 species